rnacentral:rRNA from 1 species
CUAUUUUUAUAUUAUAGCUACGGCGCUUGUUGAUGGGUGUGCGGCUGAUUAGGUAGUUGGCGGGUAAUGGCCCACCAAGCCUGCGAUCAGUAGCUGAUGUGAGAGCAUGAUCAGCCACACGGGCACUGAGACACGGGGCCCCGACUCCUACGGGAGGCAGCAGUAAGGAAUAUUGGACAAUGGGCGCAAGCCUGAUCCAGCCAUGCCGCGUGAAGGAUUAAGGUCCUCUGGAUUGUAAACUUCUUUAUAAGGGACGAAAAAGGGAAUUCUUUCUCACUUGACGGUACCUUAUGAAUAAGCACCGGCUAACUCCGUG